rnacentral:rRNA from 1 species
GGAAUAUUGCACAAUGGGGGAAACCCUGAUGCAGCCAUGCCGCGUGUGUGAAGAAGGCCUUCGGGUUGUAAAGCACUUUCAGCGAGGAGGAAAGGUUGGCGCCUAAUACGUGUCAACUGUGACGUUACUCGCAGAAGAAGCACCGGCUAACUCCGUGCCAGCAGCCGCGGUAAUACGGAGGGUGCAAGCGUUAAUCGGAAUUAUUGGGCGUAAAGCGCACGCAGGCGGUUGGGUAAGUUAGAUGUGAAAGCCCCGGGCUCAACCUGGGAAUUGCAUUUAAAACUGUCCAGCUAGAGUCUUGUAGAGGGGGGUAGAAUUCCAGGUGUAGCGGUGAAAUGCGUAGAGAUCUGGAGGAAUACCGGUGGCGAAGGCGGCCCCCUGGACAAAGACUGACGCUCAGGUGCGAAAGCGUGGGGAGCAAACAGGAUUAGAUACCCGGG